ACUUCAGUUUUCUCUUUCGUAUAGUGUGUUUGGAGCCGAGUAGGAGAAGAACCAAUGAGAAGGAAAUCAAAUUCGAUUUAGGUUAGGGUCUUGGAUUUUUUUAACUUAUUGAUUCCAUGCUUCGCACCUCAAUUAGAACCUGUACAUAAACCAAUAGAAAUGUUAGAAAUAGAAUCAAUUUAUA